AUGUAAUGUAAUUCCUACAACAUUAAUGCAUUGGAUCCCAUUAGAACUUCAUAGGUAAGCAUGCUUGGGAUAGAGUAGUAAUGGGAUGGGUGACCUCGUAGGAAGUCCUAGUGUUUUACAUG
rnacentral:rRNA from 1 species